UGAUAAUUAGUUUAACCCAAAACAAAUGAUUUCGACUCAUUAAAUUAU
rnacentral:tRNA from 1 species